rnacentral:rRNA from 1 species
CCUACGGGAGGCAGCAGUGAGGAAUAUUGGUCAAUGGGCGUAAGCCUGAACCACCCAAGUCGCGUGAGGGAUGACGGUCCUAUGGAUCGUAAACCUCUUUUAUAAGGGAAUAAAGUGCGGGACGUGUCCCGUUUUGUAUGUACCUUAUGAAUAAGGAUCGGCUAACUCCGUGCCAGCAGCCGCGGUAAUACGGAGGAUCCGAGCGUUAUCCGGAUUUAUUGGGUUUAAAGGGUGCGUAGGCGGCCUUUUAAGUCAGUGGUGAAAGUUUGUGGCUCAACCAUAGAAUUGCAGUUGAAACUGGGAGGCUUGAGUAUGGUUGAGGCAGGCGGAAUGCGUGGUGUAGCGGUGAAAUGCUUAGAUAUCACGCAGAACCCCGAUUGCGAAGGCAGCCUACCAAGCCAUGACUGACACUGAUGCACGAAAGCGUGGGGAUCAAACAGGAUUAGAUACCCGGAUAGUC